UACGUAGGGAGCAAGCGUUGUCCGGAAUCAUUGGGCGUAAAGCGCGCGUAGGCGGCCCUGUAAGUCCGUUGUGAAAGUCAAAGGCUCAACCUUUGAAAGCCGAUGGAUACUGCAGGGCUAGAGUCCGGAAGAGGCGAGUGGAAUUCCAGGUGUAGCGGUGAAAUGCGUAGAUAUCUGGAGGAACACCGGUGGCGAAGGCGGCAUCCUGGACCAAUUCUGACGCUGAGUGAGCGAAAGCCAGGGGAGCAAACGGG
rnacentral:rRNA from 1 species